rnacentral:sRNA from 2 species
CUGCGUGACGAAGCGCGCGGUAAAGUGGACAAUAAGGGCUGAGCUUCGAGUUAGUCGCCAGACGCCGGUUUAGCCGGCGUUUUUUA